UACGGGGGGGGCAAGCGUUGUUCGGAAUUACUGGGCGUAAAGGGCUCGUAGGCGGCCAACUAAGUCGGAUGUGAAAUCCCCAGGCUUAACCUGGGAACUGCAUCCGAUACUGGGAGGCUUGAGUAUGGGAGAGGGAUGUAGAAUUCCAGGUGUAGCGGUGAAAUGCGUAGAUAUCUGGAGGAAUACCGGUGGCGAAGGCGGCAUCCUGGACCAUAACUGACGCUGAGGCGCGAAAGCUAGGGGAGCAAACGGG
rnacentral:rRNA from 1 species